GGGUGCUGGGCCGGGAGGGGCCUUCCGGCAACUUUUUGGUUGGUGCCGCCCCGCCCAGGCCCCGUUUAAACUUGAUCUCCGCGGUGCUCUCCCCUUUCGGCCGCGACGCGUGACUGGGCUUGGUGGAGUUUCAAGAUGCUGAUGAACUUAAGGUCUGGCGCUUGAAAGAAUCAGUGAAGCUUUUCAAGUAGAGGAGAUAUAUUUGAAUAUGUAAUCUUUAGUAUCUACAGAACACAGGCUGGAGUACAGUGGUGCGAUCUUGGCUUACUACACCCCCCGCUUCUCAGAUUCAAGC